rnacentral:tRNA from 1 species
GGCUGAACAGCUCGGUGGUAAGAGCACUCGCCUGCACAGCGAAAGACUCGGGUUCGAUUCCCGAUUCAGCGA